GACGAACGCUGGCGGCGUGCUUAACACAUGCAAGUCGAACGGAAAGGCCCCUUUGGGGGUACUCGAGUGGCGAACGGGUGAGUAACACGUGAGUAACCUGCCCUUGACUUCGUGAUAACUUCAGGAAACUGGGGCUAAUACCGGAUAGGAAUCCUUGCUGCAUGGUGGGGGUGGGAAAGCUUCGGCGGUUUUGGAUGGACUCGCGGCUUAUCAGCUUGUUGGUGGGGUAGUGGCUUACCAAGGCUUUGACGGGUAGCCGGCCUGAGAGGGCGACCGGCCACAAUGGGACUGAGAGUACGCCCAGACUCCGACGGGAGGCAGCAGUGGGGAAUAUUGCACCAUGGGCGGAAGCCGGAUGCCGCAACGCCGCGUGCGGGAGGACGGCCUUCGGGUUGUAAACCGCUUUCAGCAGGGGCGAAGCUUGUGGUGACGGUACCUGCAGAAGAAGCACCGGCUAACUACGUG
rnacentral:rRNA from 1 species